UUCACUAAAAUAAAUUUGGCUCGUUUAAUUUUCAUAAAAUUUUGUCAUAGUAUUUACUUUGACACUUUAACAAAAAUAUAAAAAUUUUUAAAAUUUUGAACCAACCAUUUUGUCAGAAAAAUUACACUGGUUAUAUAGCAAUUUGAUAACCACCAAUAUUGAUCAUUGAGAAGCUUAAUAUUCCUUUUACAACACAACGUAAUUAAAGACUUUAGCUGACUUACAGAGUUAUCCCCUUGUAGUGUUAGGUACCACCGUAAACUCCUUAAUAUUCAGUUAUUGGUGCUCUAGAAAUCACAGUUCCACUAUAUUGUGUCUUUUGAAAAAAAAGUUUGGCCAGUGAAUAAUAAAUAAGAAAAAUUCUGUUCUUAAUGCUUGUUUCAUAAAAACAGAAUAAUAAAGGAUGAUUUAUUGAAUAAUAUGUUUUAUUACCUGGUACAUGUAAUAAUGAAUGUGUUAUCAAAUUUUUAUCCAUUGAAUUUUAUAAUUUGCUGCAGUGCAGUUGUUCUUUUCCGUUUAAAACCUUGAGUUGCUGAAAUGUCAUCAAUUAAACAUGAAGUCUACUCUUCAAUGGAAGAAAAAGAAACCUAAACAACAUGAAUUUAUAGAAUUUUAUCAAUUUAUGCAAAUAGCAACAAGGAACAUUGGAAAUACAGGAGAAGCUAAUCUCAUUUGAAUUCUUCAUUUAUUUCACUAUACACACACUUCAUAUUUGUGUUAAAAUUAUUAUGAAAUUUACAAUUUAUAUACAUUCUCAGGAUAUUAUUUUCAUGUUUGUUUAUUUUGAAAAUGUUAAAGAUGAA
rnacentral:lncRNA from 1 species